rnacentral:rRNA from 1 species
UUAAGUUAUUAAGGGCGCACGGUGGAUGCCUUGGCACUAGAAGCCGAUGAAGGACGUUACUAACGACGAUAUGCUUUGGGGAGCUGUAAGUAAGCUUUGAUCCAGAGAUUUCCGAAUGGGGAAACCCAGCAUGAGUUAUAUCAUGUUAUCGAUAUGUGAAUACAUAGCAUAUCAGAAGGCACACCCGGAGAACUGAAACAUCUUAGUACCCGGAGGAAGAGAAAGAAAAUUCGAUUCCCUUAGUAGCGGCGAGCGAAACGGGAAGAGCCCAAACCAACAAGCUUGCUUGUUGGGGUUGUAGGACACUCUAUACGGAGUUACAAAGGACGACAUUAGACGAAUCAUCUGGAAAGAUGAAUCAAAGAAGGUAAUAAUCCUGUAGUCGAAAAUGUUGUCUCUCUUGAGUGGAUCCUGAGUACGACGGAGCACGUGAAAUUCCGUCGGAAUCUGGGAGGACCAUCUCCUAAGGCUAAAUACUCUCUAGUGACCGAUAGUGAACCAGUACCGUGAGGGAAAGGUGAAAAGCACCCCGGAAGGGGAGUGAAAUAGAACCUGAAACCGUGUGCUUACAAGUAGUCAGAGCCCGUUAAUGGGUGAUGGCGUGCCUUUUGUAGAAUGAACCGGCGAGUUACGAUUUGAUGCAAGGUUAAGCAGUAAAUGUGGAGCCGUAGCGAAAGCGAGUCUGAAUAGGGCGUUUAGUAUUUGGUCGUAGACCCGAAACCAGGUGAUCUACCCUUGGUCAGGUUGAAGUUCAGGUAACACUGAAUGGAGGACCGAACCGACUUACGUUGAAAAGUGAGCGGAUGAACUGAGGGUAGCGGAGAAAUUCCAAUCGAACCUGGAGAUAGCUGGUUCUCUCCGAAAUAGCUUUAGGGCUAGCCUCAAGUGAUGAUUAUUGGAGGUAGAGCACUGUUUGGACGAGGGGCCCCUCUCGGGUUACCGAAUUCAGACAAACUCCGAAUGCCAAUUAAUUUAACUUGGGAGUCAGAACAUGGGUGAUAAGGUCCGUGUUCGAAAGGGAAACAGCCCAGACCACCAGCUAAGGUCCCAAAAUAUAUGUUAAGUGGAAAAGGAUGUGGCGUUGCCCAGACAACUAGGAUGUUGGCUUAGAAGCAGCCAUCAUUUAAAGAGUGCGUAAUAGCUCACUAGUCGAGUGACACUGCGCCGAAAAUGUACCGGGGCUAAACAUAUUACCGAAGCUGUGGAUUGUCCUUUGGACAAUGGUAGGAGAGCGUUCUAAGGGCGUUGAAGCAUGAUCGUAAGGACAUGUGGAGCGCUUAGAAGUGAGAAUGCCGGUGUGAGUAGCGAAAGACGGGUGAGAAUCCCGUCCACCGAUUGACUAAGGUUUCCAGAGGAAGGCUCGUCCGCUCUGGGUUAGUCGGGUCCUAAGCUGAGGCCGACAGGCGUAGGCGAUGGAUAACAGGUUGAUAUUCCUGUACCACCUAUAAUCGUUUUAAUCGAUGGGGGGACGCAGUAGGAUAGGCGAAGCGUGCGAUUGGAUUGCACGUCUAAGCAGUAAGGCUGAGUAUUAGGCAAAUCCGGUACUCGUUAAGGCUGAGCUGUGAUGGGGAGAAGACAUUGUGUCUUCGAGUCGUUGAUUUCACACUGCCGAGAAAAGCCUCUAGAUAGAAAAUAGGUGCCCGUACCGCAAACCGACACAGGUAGUCAAGAUGAGAAUUCUAAGGUGAGCGAGCGAACUCUCGUUAAGGAACUCGGCAAAAUGACCCCGUAACUUCGGGAGAAGGGGUGCUCUUUAGGGUUAACGCCCAGAAGAGCCGCAGUGAAUAGGCCCAAGCGACUGUUUAUCAAAAACACAGGUCUCUGCUAAACCGUAAGGUGAUGUAUAGGGGCUGACGCCUGCCCGGUGCUGGAAGGUUAAGAGGAGUGGUUAGCUUCUGCGAAGCUACGAAUCGAAGCCCCAGUAAACGGCGGCCGUAACUAUAACGGUCCUAAGGUAGCGAAAUUCCUUGUCGGGUAAGUUCCGACCCGCACGAAAGGCGUAACGAUUUGGGCACUGUCUCAACGAGAGACUCGGUGAAAUCAUAGUACCUGUGAAGAUGCAGGUUACCCGCGACAGGACGGAAAGACCCCGUGGAGCUUUACUGUAGCCUGAUAUUGAAAUUCGGCACAGCUUGUACAGGAUAGGUAGGAGCCUUUGAAACGUGAGCGCUAGCUUACGUGGAGGCGCUGGUGGGAUACUACCCUAGCUGUGUUGGCUUUCUAACCCGCACCACUUAUCGUGGUGGGAGACAGUGUCAGGCGGGCAGUUUGACUGGGGCGGUCGCCUCCUAAAAGGUAACGGAGGCGCUCAAAGGUUCCCUCAGAAUGGUUGGAAAUCAUUCAUAGAGUGUAAAGGCAUAAGGGAGCUUGACUGCGAGACCUACAAGUCGAGCAGGGUCGAAAGACGGACUUAGUGAUCCGGUGGUUCCGCAUGGAAGGGCCAUCGCUCAACGGAUAAAAGCUACCCCGGGGAUAACAGGCUUAUCUCCCCCAAGAGUUCACAUCGACGGGGAGGUUUGGCACCUCGAUGUCGGCUCAUCGCAUCCUGGGGCUGUAGUCGGUCCCAAGGGUUGGGCUGUUCGCCCAUUAAAGCGGUACGCGAGCUGGGUUCAGAACGUCGUGAGACAGUUCGGUCCCUAUCCGUCGUGGGCGUAGGAAAUUUGAGAGGAGCUGUCCUUAGUACGAGAGGACCGGGAUGGACAUACCUCUGGUGUACCAGUUGUCGUGCCAACGGCAUAGCUGGGUAGCUAUGUGUGGACGGGAUAAGUGCUGAAAGCAUCUAAGCAUGAAGCCCCCCUCAAGAUGAGAUUUCCCAACUUCGGUUAUAAGAUCCCUCAAAGAUGAUGAGGUUAAUAGGUUCGAGGUGGAAGCAUGGUGACAUGUGGAGCUGACGAAUACUAAUCGAUCGAAGACUUAAUCAA